rnacentral:rRNA from 1 species
CCUACGGGUGGCAGCAGUAGGGAAUCUUCCACAAUGGGCGAAAGCCUGAUGGAGCAACGCCGCGUGGGUGAAGAAGGUCUUCCGAUCGUAAAACCCUGUUGUUAGAGAAGAAAGUGCGUGCGAGUAACUGUUCACGUUUCGACGGUAUCUAACCAGAAAGCCACGGCUAACUACGGGCCAGCAGCCGCGGUAAUACGGAGGUGGCAAGCGUUAUCCGGAUUUAUUGGGCGUAAAGGGAACGCAGGCGGUCUUUUAAGUCUGAUGUGAAAGGCUUCGGCUUAACCGGGGUAGUGCAGUGGAAACUGGGAGACUUGAGUGCAGAAGAGGAGAGUGGAACUCCAUGUGUAGCGGUGAAAUGCGUAGAUAUAUGGAAGAACACCGGUGGCGAAAGCGAGUCUCUGGGCUGUAACUGACGCUGAGGUUCGAAAGCGUGGGUAGCAAACAGGAUUAGAUACCCUUGUAGUC